ACGUGAAAGUCCACUUCGGUGGAUUGAUCGUAACCCAAAGGAAGUCACGGCUAACUCUGUGCCAGCAGCCGCGGUAAGACAGAGGUGGCAAGCGUUGUUCGGUAUCACUGGGCUUAAAGCGUGUGUAGGCGGAAACGUAAGCAUUUUGUGAAAUCCCCCGGCUCAACCGGGGCACAGCUUGAUGUACUGCGUUUCUUGAGGCAAGUAGGGGUGCGAGGAACUCUUGGUGGAGCGGUGGAAUGCGUANAUAUCAAGAGGAACGCCGGUGGUGAAGACGUCGCACUAGGCUUGUCCUGACGCUGANACACGAAAGCGUGGGGAGCGAACGGGAUUAGAUACCCCGGUAGUCCACGCCGUAAACGAUGCCUACUANAUUGUGGCGGUUCUGACGCCGGCACAGUCGAAGCUAAAGUGUUAAGUAGGCCGCCUGGGGAGUACGGU
rnacentral:rRNA from 1 species